rnacentral:rRNA from 1 species
GACGAACGCUGGCGGCGCGCCUAACACAUGCAAGUCGAACGGGGUCCUUUUGAGAAGCUUGCUUCUUGGCUGGACCUAGUGGCGGACGGGUGAGUAACACGUGAGUAACCUGCCCUGGAGUGGGGGACAACACCUGGAAACGGGUGCUAAUACCGCAUAAUAUCCCUGGAUGGCAUCAUUUGGGGAUCAAAGGAGUAAUCCGCUCUGGGAUGGACUCGCGCCCGAUUAGAUUGUUGGUGGGGUAACGGCCCACCAAGUCUGCGAUCGGUAGCCGGACUGAGAGGUUGAUCGGCCACAUUGGGACUGAGACACGGCCCAGACUCCUACGGGAGGCAGCAGUGGGGGAUAUUGCACAAUGGGGGAAACCCUGAUGCAGCGACGCCGCGUGAGUGAAGACGGCCUUCGGGUUGUAAAGCUCUGUUAUGGGGGACGAACACAAUGACGGUACCCCAUUAGAAAGCCACGGCUAACUACGUGCCAGCCGCCGCAGUAAAAC